GGGGUUUAUGGAAAUUUAACAAUUCUCUUUUAUAUGAUCCAGAUUAUAUCCAUAUUGUAAAAGAGGUAAUAAAUAAAACUAAAGAACAAUAUGCUUCUCUUGUAUAUAAUCGAGAAAACCUAAACUUAGUAGACUCUAGUGAAAUUGAGUUCACAAUUAGUGAUCAAUUAUUUUUAGAAACAUUGUUAACUGAAAUAAGGGGGAAAACAAUAUCGUAUGCUUCAUUUAAAAAGAAAAAAACAAAUAAAUUAGAACAUUUGCUAGCUGAAGAUAUAAACAAGUUGGAAGAAAUAACCCAAACAGAUGAAAUUUUGGAACAGAUAGAAAAAAAGAAAACGGAUCUUAGAAUUAUCAGACAAAAUAAAAUGAGGGGUCAAUACAUAAGGUCAAAAACACAAUGGGUAGAAGAAGGAGAGAAACCGUCAAAGUUUUUCAUAAAUUUAGAGACAAAAAAUUAUGUCAAUAAAACAAUUCCUAAAUUAAUUGAUCAAUCAGGAAAUAUAAUUGAAAACCAAAAACAAAUUCUAAACGAAGCCAAAAAUUAUUACAAAAAUCUAUAUUCCAAAAAUGAG
rnacentral:lncRNA from 1 species